GACGAACGCUGGCGGCGUGCUUAACACAUGCAAGUCGAGCGGGGAACUUCGGUUCCCAGCGGCGGACGGGUGAGUAACACGUGGGUAACCUGCCUCAUAGUGGGGAAUAGCCUUCCGAAAGGAAGAUUAAUACCGCAUAAUACUCAGAAAUCACAUGAUUUCUGAGCCAAAGGAUUUAUUCGCUAUGAGAUGGACCCGCGGCGCAUUAGCUUGUUGGUGAGGUAACGGCUCACCAAGGCUUCGAUGCGUAGCCGACCUGAGAGGGUGAUCGGCCACAUUGGAACUGAGACACGGUCCAGACUCCUACGGGAGGCAGCAGUUUGGAAUUUUGGACAAUGGACGAAAGUCUGAUCCAGCGACGCCGCGUGGACGAUGACGGCCUUCGGGUUGUAAAGUCCUUUUGCUUGGGACGAAUUUUUGACGGUACCAAGCGGAUAAGAGGUUGCUAACUCUGUGCCAGCAGCCGCCGUAA
rnacentral:rRNA from 1 species